ACAUUUAAGGACAUAAUAAUGUGGGGAUAAUUAUGUUUAUGCCUGGAGCUUCAGAUUUUGGGAUCGUAGUUAUGAUGACCUCAUAGUAGAAUUAAUGGAACUGAAGCAAUUAGCUCUUGAUAAAUGCAAAUCUACGAAAAGAUCAAUUGAGUUUUGACUUUUGAGAUGGAAGAAGAGAACCUUUUAUGUGAAUUAGUUUUAGGCUCUUUCGAAUUUGAGAUGAGUAAUGUCCAAGUUAUGUAGCAAGGUUUGAUGGUGACAUAGGUAGAGGUGGUUCAAGAAUACAAGUUAAUAACUGUCUAGUUCUAGCAAACAUGACAUUGAACUAUAGCAAGUAUAAGGUUAGUAACAAGUAAUUAUUGAAGUUGGAUAUGGGAGUGAUGGGCAAUGUGCCUCUCCUCCAAUUCGGUGCAGAUGAAUGGUUUCCUCUAAACUUGAAAUUGGCAAAUGCUAUUUGGGUUGGAUUCGGUGUAAAAUGAAGGGAAAAAAAAA
rnacentral:misc_RNA from 1 species